UGAACGCUGGCGGCGUGCCUACUACAUGCACGUCGAGCGACCAGACGAGGAGCUUGCUCCUCUGACGUUAGCGGCGGACGGGUGAGUAACACGUGGAUAACCUACCUAUAAGACUGGGAUAACUUCGGGAAACCGGAGCUAAUACCGGAUAAUAUAUUGAACCGCAUGGUUCAAUAGUGAAAGACGGUUUUGCUGUCACUUAUAGAUGGAUCCGCGCCGCAUUAGCUAGUUGGUAAGGUAACGGCUUACCAAGGCGACGAUGCGUAGCCGACCUGAGAGGGUGAUCGGCCACACUGGAACUGAGACACGGUCCAGACUCCUACGGGAGGCAGCAGUAGGGAAUCUUCCGCAAUGGGCGAAAGCCUGACGGAGCAACGCCGCGUGAGUGAUGAAGGUCUUCGGAUCGUAAAACUCUGUUAUUAGGGAAGAACAAAUGUGUAAGUAACUAUGCACGUCUUGACGGUACCUAAUCAGAAAGCCACGGCUAACUACGUG
rnacentral:rRNA from 1 species